CAGAUUUUAUUGAGAUAGAACAUGUCAAGAGAGGUGACAUUGACAUCUCUUCUGGCACUGUACACGAAACAAUCAAAACAUAAACCACACAUCAAUUUAACUAUUAUACAAGGGUCCCUGACAAGUUCAACAUUUUUGAUUAUUUUGCUAAUUAAGGAAACCUGUCCAACGGCCGAAGCGCACUAGAAAGUCUGAUUGAAGGCAUUAUUAGUGGUGAAGCCGAGCAGGAUUCACAAGAUGCAAGUAUGACGGAAAGAAAUGGAUCAGUACAUGAGGACAUACUUAUUGUUGAUAACGAAAUAGAUCCAGAAGUAACUGACUUAAUUAAUACCGCCAACAUGGAAAUGUUAGCUACUUUAGUCUUAAAUGGAGAAGGAUCUAGAUUGGUAGGCAGACAUUCAGGAAAUUCUGAAUUACAAGCGUUUUUGGAUAAUGUACCCACGUACAUGCAAAAAAUUAACAAAGUUCACUUAGCGGCGAGAGAAGGCAACAUACGAGAUCUUCAGGCUGCCUUAGAUAGACGGAAAUUUGCAAUUGCUAGAGAUCCUAUAUCGCCAAAUGGAGCAACGCCUUUGCACGUCGCAACUGUAUUUGGAAAAACUAACAUAAUGAAAUAUUUGGGAGGAAGAUUUCCUGAAACUUUGUCUGCCGUCGAUUUUGAAGGAAGGACAGCAUUACAUUAUGCCGCUGUAAUACCUGACAAUGGUCAUUAUUACAACUUAUUGCAACAGCUUGGAGCCAAUUCUAAGGAUUUAGAUGAUAGUGGACGAUCAGCUGAUGAUUACCUUAAAAAUCCAGAUUUAUUACCGUUUCAACAACUGUUAGCUGAUUAUGGAAUAAGCGAAGAAGCAGCUCAUGAAAUGUUGUCUGAUAAAGUUCCUGAGGACCGCGUGUCGUCACGACGAGCAUUGGAUGUGCCUGAAGCUUUGGACACGCUUGAGCGCUGUUACCGUCUGCUAGCGUCCGCGAGACCAAAUCGAACUCCUUUGUCAGCUUCUUCAAACAGAGCAACACCACCGCUUGUUUUGGGCAGAUUUCUAAAGCGACCUAUAUUUGAAAUAAUCAAAUGCAGAGUAACCAAACUAGACCAUGAUCUAUUUGAUGUUAUUUGGCCAGCCGUUAAAAAACUACCAGACAAUAGAAAUAUUAUACAAACAGUAGAGGAAGAUUUUCCAGGGGGUAUUGCAGCUCCAGACUACUAUGUUUACGAAGUGUUUCACGAAUUUUUAAUCCCACUCAUCAAAGACCUACACAAUAUCAAUGUCAAUUUAGAUUUAACUACGCAUCCACCAUCCGAUUUCACGAAACUGUCAUUGAAACCUUCGACCACAAUUUCUUCUGAACCUCUUGUAGAGUUAAACAUCGAUCCAAAUGACGAGUUCGUUCUAUCAGGAACUAUUGAAUGUUCCCGAAACUUGGCAGGGUUUGAGUUGCCCUUGAACCUUAAGAUUGGGAAAUUAGAAACCAUAGAAAGAAUUAUAACAACAGUUCUUAUGCAGCAGGAUUUUGCAAAAUUUAGUGAAACUUCAACUGCUGAAUCCGAUCAGAAAGGAGGAACUUACUAUACAUUGAAUGAGGUAAUGGAAAAGCCAUCAGAAAUAUGUGCAACACUGGCUGCCAGUGGAUUAUUGAUAGCUUUGUGUGAUAGAGACGAAAUCGAUGACUGCGCCCGUCUACACGGCACUCACUGGCCUUACGGUCGCGGUGUUUUUGUUAGUGAAGACAAGACACUAGCAGUUUGGAUAAAUGUGCACGACCAUGUGAGGGUCCUUAUAUCAAAUCCGAUCGAUUCUCCAGGAGAAAUUGGUUUGCCAUUUAGCAAACUGUCAUACAUAAUGGCGUAUUUACAUGAAAAGAUAGAUUUUGUUUGGGAUGAAAAGCUUGGUCACUUGAGUAGUAGACCAACAUACCUAGGCGCCGGAAUACGAUUCAGUUUGAUUAUUAACUUUCCUGGUCUCUCGAAGGACCCAGAUAAUAUGAAACAUCUUUGUGCUAUGAGAGGACUGCAAUAUAGAGAAACCUUGACAGCGGACAUUGCAAGAAUCAGCAACUACCAGUGCCUAAGCGUUACAGAAACCAACUGUUUUAAUGAUUUUGCAACAGCCGCUUCAAAUCUGCUUCACCUAGAAAAAGAUCUAGCUAUGCAAAACUCAGCACACAUUGCGACGAUGCUUUCAAAUAUUUUCCGGAGAAAAAGAAGCAGUUUGGCGGAUUUAGAUAAUCCCGAGCAGUUUCCACAGCAAUAAUGUCAAAAAAGUUAUAUAGCAAACUUUAUGCAAUUUUAUGUAACAUAAUCUCACUUUUUGCUGUAUUGUAAUGUAAUUAUGUCGAAUGUUGGAAAGAUUUAGGUGCUGAAAUUACUACAUACCUAUGGCUGAAGAUGAGCGACUUUAAACAUCUAUCGAAUUCUUCUGAAACUUUUAGGUACAACCCCUCAAGCCGCCAAUGGUCACAUGGACAUUCCCGUCUUUCGGACAGAAGAGGGCAGAUAUCUUGCUAAGUCUCUCGGCGAUCCUUUGAUUAAAGGUCUGACCGAAGUGGCAAACGCAAAGCCUAAAGAUCCGGUCGCGUUCCUUGCAAGUUUCCUACACAACUUUCC